ensembl:lncRNA
UGUAAUGUCUGGACGAGGAAGAGUAAGAGCAAGGGGCCCAGGGAGAAGAGCAGGCCCAGUGAGAGAUGCAGUGAGAGAUGCAGGGAGAGGUGCAGGAGCAGUGAGAGGUGCAGGAGCAGUGAGAGGUGCAGGAGCAGUGAGAGGUGCAGGGAGAGGUGCAGGGAGAGGAGCAGGAGCAGUGAGAGGUGCAGGAGCAGUGAGAGGUGCAGGGAGAGGUGCAGGAGCAGUGAGAGAUGCAGUGAGAGAUGCAGUGAGAGGAGCAGUGAGAGGAGCAGGAGCAGUGAGAGGAGCAGUGAGAGGAGCAGGGCCAAGGAGAGGGCAAGGUAG